rnacentral:other from 1 species
GCGGGACUGCCCGGCACGAGCUCGAGCAAAUAUCCCUGAGGCGAUACAACAUCCUAGGGAGCCGUCCCUGGCGGGGUCCUGGCCCUGCACAUAUGGCGCCCACCUGACGUUACUGGCGUCAGAGGAUAUUUCAGCAAACGACCCAUGGUGGUUCCGCC